rnacentral:snoRNA from 1 species
AACCCAUGGUUAAGACAUUUUCUGAGCAAAGAAUUAAAUCUCUCCCAUGCUUCACAAAAUGGUUCAUCCACACCUUGCCUAAAAGUAGUGAUUUCUGAUUUGACCUU